GAUGAACGCUGGCGGUAUGCUUAACACAUGCAAGUCGAACGGACUCUUCGGAGUUAGUGGCGGACGGGUGAGUAACGCGUGAGAAUCUGGCUUUGGGUUCGGGACAACCACUGGAAACGGUGGCUAAUACCGGAUGUGCCGAGAGGUAAAAGAGAAAUUGCCUGAAGAUGAGCUCGCGUCUGAUUAGCUAGUUGGUGAGGUAAAGGCUCACCAAGGCAGCGAUCAGUAGCUGGUCUGAGAGGAUGACCAGCCACACUGGGACUGAGACACGGCCCAGACUCCUACGGGAGGCAGCAGUGGGGAAUUUUCCGCAAUGGGCGAAAGCCUGACGGAGCAAUGCCGCGUGAGGGAAGAAGGCUCUUGGGUUGUAAACCUCUUUUCUUAGGGAAGAACAAAAUGACGGUACCUAAGGAAUCAGCAUCGGCUAACUCCGUG
rnacentral:rRNA from 1 species